UAUAAAACGCUGCCCGACCAUGUAGCUUAGUUUGGUAAAUACUUUUGCCACGAAUCUAUUUUGCAAAAUACUUUGCAAAUAGGGCUUAGUUUGGGAAAACGUCCCAUUUAAAUCUUAUAAUCUAUAAAACAACUUGAGGAGUGGAUGAUCAACUAGCUUAAUUAGUUAAAGUAAGGGUGAUAUUCAAAACUUUAAAUUAAAUUCCAUCUACAUCAUUGCUUUUGUAACUUUCUCUACAAAAAAAAAAAAUCGCAAAAUAUUUGUGAUAUAAAUUGACUAAAUUACCCUUAUAUAGGAGGAUUUAUUUCCUCUUUGGGACACAUUUCUGUUAACCUUGACCCCUCCUAGGCUCCUACCAUUCAACGAUACCUAUAAGUCUAUAACAGAAAAACCUACCUUUCUUCAGAGAACCACUGAGUCAACAACCGAGUCAUGGAUUGCAAAAAAGCCAAAGAACCCAUCUUUCUCUCUCCUCUUUCAUACCCACAAACUCCAUUUUCGUCCAACUCAGUCCCAAAACUGAGUCACCAAACCCAUGCUUAGAAAAAAGCUUAAUCUCUCCGAGUCACCUCGUAAUGUGUUAUCAGACCAUCCUGGAACCUCAGGGUCCGAACCCGGGUUAGAUUUGGGUGAGGAGCUCGAAAUAUUGCACCCUCUUGGGUUCGGAUGGUCCAAUGAAGAUUCAAUUGAACCAAUUGAGGAGGAAUGGGAAGUGGUUAGGGUUCGAACCCGGGUUCAUCAAGAUGGGUUUAAUCCCAAUUUGAGGAAUUUUGGGGAAGAGGAUGAAAAAAGGUCUGAUCUUGAGUAUGAGUUGAUUCAAGAGGAGAUAAAUUUGGAAAAGUUGCAAAGAAUUGCUAGUACUGGGAUACCAAAUGGUGGAAGUCUUCGUGCAACUACUUGGAAGCUUCUCUUGGGUUAUCUACCUCCCUCCAGAGGUUCAUGGCAGAAAGUGUUGAGUGAGAAUCGUGUAAAAUAUACAAAGCUCAAAGAAGAAUAUUUGCUAAGUCCUUUACAACUUUCAAGUGGAGAAGAAACUUCAAGUUCAGGUGAGCAUGGUGAUGGGCUACUUAGACGGCAUGAUGUAUCUGAUGAUGAUCAUCCACUAAGCCUUGGUGAAACUAGUGCCUGGCAAAAAUAUUUUGAGUUCACAGAGAUUGCAGAGCAAAUUGACCGUGAUCUGCAACGUACACACCCAGAUUUGAAGUUUUUUACAUCAUCAAGCCUGAAAAAGAAGGAGUCAAUGAGGAAUAUACUUCUUUUAUUCGCUAAGCUCAAUCCUACAACUCUUUAUGUCCAAGGGAUGAAUGAGAUUUUGGCACCAAUAUACUAUGUAUUUAGUACUGAUCCUGUCGAGUAAAAUGCUGCCAAUGCGGAAGCUGAUAGUUUCGGUUGCUUUGUUCGACUAUUGAGUGAUUCAGUGGAUCACUUUUGCCAACAGCUGGACAAUAAUAGCUCUGUAGGAAUCCACUCGACCCUAUCAAGACUCCAAGAGAUGCUAAAAGUCAAUGAUGAAGAGCUCUGGCAGCAUCUUGAAUUUACGACCAAGGUUAAUCCACAAUUUUAUGCAUUCAGAUGGAUCACACUGCUAUUGACUCAGGAAUUUCAAUUCAAUACCAUUUUGAGAAUAUGGGACUCACUUUUAAGUCAUCCUUCCGGUGUUCAGGACAUGCUUCUGCGCGUAUGUUGUGCAAUGCUUAUACACAUAAAGAGUACAUUGCUAAAUGGAGAUUUUGCAGCCAACUUAUAUCUUCUACAACACUAUCCCAAAGUUGACAUCGAACUUCUUCUUCAGGAAGCACAAGACAUCAUUCCUGACACCUCUACCCACCGUGUUUCUGUAGAUUAAUUACCUUGUAAACAUGGUAAACAGCUUCAGCUGCUGCUUGAAUUCCUUUUUUGAUCAGACAGACAUCAGCUGAGCACAUUUUCAAAAGAUAGCAGUGAUUUCUCCUGCAUGAUAAGCUUUCAUUUUCUUUCAUCUUUUUUAUAUGUUGUGGAUUGUAUCUAAAUAUGUAAUAGAGGCAGACCUAGAGAUAUUAGUCAUUUUAACUCUAGGUUAGCUUGAGCCCACUUCUUACUUUCUAAGACUGGUUAGAGGCAAUUCAAGGUGAAAUAGCUUGAGCUCAUUUCUUCCCGCCUGCCACCUGUUAACCCAAUCUUUCUAAGCAAGUUCAUAAAGAAAUAAGUAGACCAUUAUAGUGGCCUGUUUAAUGCUCACACGAGUAAUAUCGAUCCAUAACCUGCCCAGCCUAGCUGCAGCGUAAUUCGGUCCCCAAUCUCAAACCACCAUCUUCGCCUGCCUUGUGACCUGGCUUAACCCAUCUAGACCAGCCAAGUCGCCUUUACAACUUGUCUUUCUUUAUGUUAAAAUGCACAAGUCAGUGAGUCCAAUAAUGAAAUUUUCUCAACCAAUUCUUCCUAAUUCUCUGCAUAGGUGUAAGGUAAUACAUCCAAAUGCAAAGUAUUUCAAGUUUGCAACUGCCCUAGUGACAUAUACCAAAAAAAAAAUUAAAAAAAAAACAAAAAAAAAAAAAAAAACAUUAUUAUUUUUGUAUCCAAGCAUCCAAAUGUGUACGUGUGAGAAUCUUAAGUGAUGGGAUUAAUUUUAUUUUUUCUUAGUGGUUACUUGAUGCAAUGCUCACUCAUUGAUUGAUUCAUCAUCUGUCAUGACGAUCAAAUAUACAAUCAGAAAAAUGAUAUGGAGUAGUAUCAAAAAUGGAAACAAUAAGUCAAAUCAACAUACAAAGCAAUUAAUUAAACUAAUAAACGUAUAAUUUUGCUAUGUAUUUCUAAAUUAAUACUUUAUUCAAGUAAUGUAUAUGCUUAAUGCUUCAAAUGAUCAUAUUUUAACUUGGUACUUUGUAUAGACACAAAAAUUCAGAGCCAUAGGAUUCCUAAACAUCCCUGAUUUUCUCCAAGUGACUUUUGUUGUCUUCUUGAAAAUCUGUUUCGUCUUACUUGUAUGGUUGAAAAUCCUUUUUGUAUGAACAUACUCUUUUACUUUGCUUUGCUUUUUCCAAAAGUGGGGAUUGGUGGGUCCCUACCAUUUUAUUUAUGUAACUUUGUUGGACUAAUUACUACGAGUACUUUCAAUAGAUAAAUGAUUACUUCAUUACCAUCCUAUUAAUGUACCGAUUAAUACUAGUAAAUAGUACACUAAUUAAUAUGAUCGUCUCUAUUCAUAAUCCAUUAAUCCGUAUGUUGUAAAAUUAGAGUACUGUGUAUAUUCCAAUGGUUUUGUUUUGACUCCGUUGUACUCACCUAACAUUUUACAUAAUGCACAAUAAAGUCGGUAAACUUAAUGAUAUUUGUAUAAGAUAAAGAUUGAUUAGUUUAGGAAAAAAAAAAACAUAAGAAAUAAUAAGUUUAAAAUAGAUAAUCCUUCAAAAAAAAAAAUUAUAAUAGAUAAAUUCACGACAAAUAAAAUAAGAGAGAUGAUAUUAAAGUAAAAAGAACCUACAUUCCUCUCUUUUGUUACCAAAUCUUCAUUUCUUUCAUACGGAAUAAAAAGCUAGUUAUACUAAUAUGCUUUUCUUCUAGAACUAAUCUUGUAAUCUUUGUACUCUUUUCAUCUUUAUUUAUACUUCUAGAAUAUUAACAUGAAUUUUUUUUUUGACAAGAACAUGAACUUUAUUCAAAGUAGUGUAACUAUAAUUCUCCACAUAUAAUGUCAUUAAGUAGCGAAUUAUCAUUACAUCAAAGAAAAAAAAACUUAAAAAAUGAGGUUAAAUAUCUUUUUCACGAAUGGUGGGUCCAAAGUGUCCCCACGCGUUCCCCGUUUAUGGGCCAGUUUUCAUCCACAAGCAUAUCCCAUAAA